ACUUCAGCUUGACUAAAAUGUUUCUGUCUUUUUGGUAAAUGUUUUGAAAGAAUGAAUGUCAAACUUAAUUUUAAACUGAUAGAAUCUCAACACAUGAGGACAAAUGACCUCUUUAGUGCACAUCACUUGAACAAUAAUUAUUAUGUAAACAGUUGCCAAGGAAACUAUAUCCUGUGGGCAAAGAUAAAAAUUACAUGAAAAUGCUGACUAGCUAACUCUUCUAUUUUGUGAAGAUUGUAAUUCUUAUUUUUUGUGUCACAAGAAUACAGUCAUUACUAAUAAAGGCCUGUGCUAAUU
rnacentral:sRNA from 1 species